AAUACUUGAAAUGAAAUGCCGGCCUCUGGCUGGUAGUUGGUGAUUUUAGCAAACCAACGAAUAAUGCUUAAUCUGAAUCAAUCCGCAAAUCGUACGACUCAACGUCGACGAUAUUUCUUUUAUGAGCCAACCCUAUCAACCUUCGUUGGCAGUGUAGAGUACGGCCACGGUUGUGACGGGUAACGGAGAAUCAGGGUUCGACUCCGGAGAGGGAGCCUUAGAGACGGCUCCCAUGUCUAAGGAUAGCAGCAGGCGCGAAAAUUACCCAAUACCAAUACGGUGAGGUAGUGAUGAGAAAUAGCGAGACUGUUCCUCUCUGAGGUCGGUCAUUGCAAUGGAAUAAAUCCAGAUACGUUGUUGAGUAUCUACGAGUGGGCCAGUCUGGUGCCAGCAGCCGCGGUAAUUCCAGCACUCGUAAGGUAUGGAAUGAUUGUUGCGAUUAAAAAGUUCGUAGUCGAGUUGUUGAACCGGUUCGCGUUCGGCUUUCGGGUCGUUCUGCGUGUCCGGGGUUGAGUGCGCGUUCGGCGGUUGGACUUCGGUUCGGCUGGUCGUUUCGGUUCGGCUGGUCGUUGCGUACGUGAUUACUUUGAACGGCUAAGUGCUCAAAGCGAGACUUAUGUCUGUAUACCGUUGCAUGGAAUAAUAGAACACGGGCCCGACCGUGGUUGUUGGUUUGAUGGUUGAUCCAAUGAUUAACAGGAACAUUUGGGGGCAUUCGUAUCGCGGCGCGAGAGGUGAAAUUCGUGGACCGUCGCGAGACGCCCUAAAGCGAAAGCAUUUGCCAAGGAUGUUUUCUUUGAUCAAGAACGAAAGUCAGAGGAUCGAAGGCGAUUAGAUACCGCUUUAGUUCUGACCGUAAACGAUGUCAUCUACCGAUCUGCUUGUGGAUUUUAUUCACGAGUGGGGAGGACCCCGGAAACGAAAGAUUUUCGACUUCGGGGGGAGUAUGGUUGCAAAGCUGAAACUUAAAGGAAUUGACGGAAAGGCACCACCAGGAGUGGAGUUUGCGGCUUAAUUUGACUCAACACGGGAAAUCUCACCCGGCCAGUAAACUGAUAUGAUUGACGGAUUGAUAGCUCUUUCAAGAUACGGUUAAUAGUGGUGCAUGGCCGUUCUUAGUUCGUGGAUUGGUUUGUCUGCUUAAUUGCGAUAACGAACGAGACUUUGAACUGGUAAAUAGAGCCCGUGUCAGCCCAGCACGAGGUCUCUUCUUAAAGGAAUGAUUGGCUUCUAGCCUGCAGAGAUUGAGCAAAAACAGGUCUGUUAUGCCCUUAGAUGUUCGGGGCCGCACGCGUACUACAAUGGUGGUAGUAGCGUGGUUUGUCCUUCUCCGACAGGAGUUGGCAAACGGAUGAGAUAGUACCAUGGCCGGAAUUGAGCGUUGAAAUUGUUGCUCGUGAACAAGGAAUUCCAAGUAAGUGCGAGUCAUUAACUCGCACUGAUUACGUCCCUGCCUUUUGUACACACCGCCCGUCGCUGCCCGGAACUGAGUUGUUUCGAGAAGGCUAUGGAUUGGGGCACU
rnacentral:rRNA from 1 species